rnacentral:rRNA from 1 species
UACGUAGGGUGCAAGCGUUAAUCGGAAUUACUGGGCGUAAAGCGUGCGCAGGCGGUUAUGUAAGACAGUUGUGAAAUCCCCGGGCUUAACCUGGGAACUGCAUUUGUGACUGCAUAGCUAGAGUACGGUAGAGGGGGAUGGAAUUCCGCGUGUAGCAGUGAAAUGCGUAGAUAUGCGGAGGAACACCGAUGGCGAAGGCAGUCCCCUGGACCUGUACUGACGCUCAUGCACGAAAGCGUGGGGAGCAAACAGG